rnacentral:rRNA from 1 species
UCGACUAGCAUGCGAGUCGAGAGGUGUAAGACCUCGGCGUACUGCUCAGUAACACGUGGAUAAUCUACCCUGAGGAGGGAGAUAACCCCGGGAAACUGGGGAUAAUACCCCAUAGGUUAUGGAGGCUGGAAUGCACUAUAACCGAAAGCUCCGGCGCCUCAGGAUGAGUCUGCGGCCGAUUAGGUUGUUGUUGGGGUAACGGCCCAACAAGCCGAUAAUCGGUACGGGUUGUGGGAGCAAGAGCCCGGAGAUGGAUUCUGAGACAUGAAUCCAGGCCCUACGGGGCGCAGCAGGCGCGAAANCUUUACAAUGCGAGCAAUCGUGAUAAGGGAACCCCGAGUGCCUGUAUACGCAGGCUGUUCAGAUGUCCAAAAAACAUCUGGAGA